AGAUUUACUGAAGAACAUUGUUGCUGACUUGAGAAUUUUAGGACAUCUCUGGAUUGUGCUUCUUUGCACGGUGGAGUUUUCUGCUGCAGAGGAGAACCUUGGUGCAACGGAGGAUUCCCACCAACUUGUAGCUUUCUUUGAGGGUGCAUUUCUUUUUGCAUCUAAGAAAUGCUCGGUGCAAAGAGUUCCCGCCAUUUGUAUUGAAAUUCGAGCCACAUUAUUGGUUCACAUUAAAUUAUGCAUACGUGGUGGCUAGCGAUUGGCUUGCUAGCCGUAUAAAGAGCUUGGGUGGUUUCCGCCCAAGUCGGAGAUCGAGAGAGAGAAAAACCUUCGCCUUGCGUGAAGAUCUCUAAGCGCUGCGGAUCCUUACGGACCCAACACAUUUCUUAAAAGGCAAUAGGGGCCUGAUCAGCCUCUGGCCUCUCCCCGUCGCCGAUAGAUUCCUAGACGUAUCCCUCCCUGCGCGCAAAAAGAGAUGGACCCACGGAGUUUCGACAACUCCGUAGGAGAUCGAGCUUGUCGUAGUCCUCAAACAAGGAUUUAAGCGGAGCUGUGCCUGGAAAACUGUCCAGCCUACACCACGACCAUCUUGGGUGUUCCUGGAGUGAUUACCUUCACUCCCUGGGACUGGAGUCACAGGCUGCACAGCUUCCUCCACUCCGGAGCUGGUUCUCCCUGUCUGGGCAAAUUUUUGGCUGGCUCUCCCCAGGUAUGGAUGCCCAGUUUGGAAGAGAUUGACACAUGCAAAGAAGCUAGACCCUGUGCUGACUGAAGGUUGGAUUACUGGAUGCUUUAAACCAAUGAAUGUCAACAGUCUCCAUCUUCCUGCCAGAAUCUUUGCAUCAGACACCAGGAGAGAAGCAGCAAAUAAAAGAGAACACAUCCAACUGAUCAAAGACAAGAGGCACCCACUAUGUAGUCACAUUAUGACUCCCAGUUUAAAAUCAUGGAAAAGUUUCCUUUUUAAAAUACAGGCACUGGAUAAAACACCAACAGACACACGAAUAAAUGUGGCAGUUCAUUGACCCAGGAAGGAGUUAGAAUGAAUAUCAAAACUGCUGAGCAAUUUCCUGCAGGUGCAGAGCUCAGCUGGUCAAUAUGGAAAAGCUUGAACCACAUCCGAACAGGGGUCAGUAAGACAAAAGUUAACGUGCAGCUAUGGGGAUACACCAACACCAUGUGUGAAUAUGGAGGAAACUUUCAGACUACAGAACUCCUGAUGCUCACAUAUAAGAGAAUGAAGUAUCAACAAGGACCUUGCUAAAGCUACAGAUUGAGCAAUAGUAGGUGCCUGUUACUAGACCCACAUUUGAACAUGGUGACAUGACAUGAGAAGACUGAAAAAUAGUGCUAGUAAGCACCCUAUAUCUUAAAGUGCAUUGCUUUCUAUAACUACAUCUUGGGCAAGCCACUGGCUGCUGGGAUGAGACAAGAUAUUUCCUUAAACCAACAGAUCUCAAAGGCCUUAUGGGACAACAAUAUCAGGAUGACCACUGAGUAGAUGGAUAGGCUUUUCCAAGGUCUACCAGACUCUUUCUACACUUCAGCCUCACUUUAUCCUUUGUCUUUGUGUCUAUAAAACACAAGAUUCAUUACAUUUAUUUUUAAGACAAUGAAAUUACACAUUCAUAGAUUCAUAGAUGUUAGGGUCGGAAGGGAUGUCAAUAGAUCAUCGAGUCCGACCCCCUGCGUAGGCAGGACAGAGUGCUGGGUCUAGAUGACCCCAGCUAGAUGCUUAUCUAACCUCCUCUUGAAGACCCCCAGGGUAGGGGAGAGCACCACCUCCCUUGGGAGCCUGUUCCAGACCCUGGCCACUCGAACUGUGAAGAAGUUCUUCCUAAUGUCCAAUCUAAAUCUGCUCUCUGCUAGCUUGUGGCCAUUAUUUCUUGUAACCCCCGGGGGCACCUUGGUGAAUAAAUACUCACCAAUUCCCUUCUGUGCCCCCGUGAUGAACUUAUAGGCGGCCAUAAGGUCGCCUCUCAACCUUCUAUUGCGGAGGCUGAAAAGAUCCAGGUUCUCUAGUCUCUCCUCGUAGGGCUUGGUCUGUAGGCCCUUAACCAUACGAGUAGCCCUUCUCUGGACCCUCUCCAGGUUAUCCGCAUCCCUCUUGAAUUGCGGCGCCCAGAAUUGCAUGCAGUACUCCAACUGCGGUCUGACCAGCGCCCGAUAGAGGGGAAGUAUCACCUCCUUGGACCUAUUCAUCAUGCAUCUGCUGAUGCACGAUAAAGUGCCAUUGGCUUUUUUGAUGGCUUCGUCACACUGCUGACUCAUGUUCAUCUUGGAGUCCACUAGGACUCCAAGAUCCCUUUCCACCUCUGUGCCACCCAGCAGGUCAUUCCCUAGGCUGUAGGUGUGCUGGACAUUUUUCCUCCCUAGGUGCAGCACUUUGCAUUUCUCCUUGUUGAAUUGCAUUCUGUUGUUUUCUGCCCACUUGUCCAACCUGUCCAGAUCUGCUUGCAGCUGUUCCCUGCCCUCCAGCGUGUCCACAUCUCCCCAUAGCUUUGUGUCAUCUGCAAACUUGGACAGAGUACACUUCACUCCCUCGUCCAAGUCACUGAUGAAGACAUUAAAGAGUAUCGGUCCAAGGACCGAACCCUGCGGGACCCCACUGCCCACACCCUUCCAGGUUGAAACCGACCCAUCCACCACGACUCUCUGGGUGCGACCCUCCAGCCAAUUCAACACCCACCGGACUGUGUAGUCAUCCAAGUCACAGCCUCUUAACUUGUUCACCAGUAUGGGGUGGGAUACCGUAUCGAAGGCCUUCCUGAAGUCUAAGUAUACGACAUCCACCCCUCCUCCUGUGUCCAGGCGUUUCAUAACCUGGUCAUAAAAAGAAACUAGAUUGGUCAGGCACAAUCUGCCUGCCACGAACCCGUGCUGAUUUCCCCUCAGUAUAAUUUGUCCUGCUGGGCUCUCACAAAUGUGAGCCUUGAUAAUUUUUUCAAAGACUUUGCCAAGGAUGGAGGUGAGACUGACUGGCCUAUAGUUGCCUGGGUCCUCCUUCCUCCCCUUUUUGAAAAUGGGGACCACGUUGGCCCUUUUCCAGUCCUCCGGGACUUGGCCCGUGCGCCACGAGCAUUCAAAUAUUCCCGCCAGUGGCUCUGCAAUGAUGUCGGCCAGUGCCUUUAGCACCCUCGGAUGGAGCUCAUCCGGGCCUGCCGACUUAAAGGCAUCCAGUUCUUCCAAGAGACUCUGCACCAUCUCAGGGUCUACACAUGGAAGUCUGGCGCCUUGCUGCUGCCUCUCUACAACCCCAGUGAGAGACUUGUCGUGUCCCUCGCUUAGGAACACUGAGGCAAAGAACUCAUUGAGGAGUUCAGCCUUGUCCCCCCUGUCCGUCACCAAUUGUUUCUGCCCAUUUAGCAGGGGUCCUAUUCCUCCCUGGGCCUUCCUUUUACUCCCUAUAUAUCUAAAAAACAAUUUCUUGUUGACUUUUACUUGGGUUGCCAUCCUCAGCUCCAUGGUAGCUUUGGCCCGUCUAACUGCCUCCCUACAAGCAUGAGCAGAGGAGGUAUAUUCGUCUUUGGUGAUCUCUCCCUGUUUCCACUUUUUUAUGUGCUCCCCUUUUGGCCCUUAGGCUGCCCUGGAUUUCUCUGGUCAGCCAGGGAAGCCUCCUGGCCCCUUUCCCUCUUUUGCCUCGCUAGGGGAUCGUCUUGCUUUGUGCCCAAAGGAUCGUUUCCUUAAGGCACAGCCACCCUUCUUGGGCUUCCAUUUCUUCAAAUCUCCUACUCUGCAGUGCGUCCUUGACUAAUCCCCUGAGUUCAUUGAAAGUGGAUUUUACAAAAGUGUCAGCAUUACCUUAACUCUCUGCCAUUGAAACCAGUGGGAUGUUUGUUUGAGGGAGUUUAAGUUAUUCUUAUGCAAACAGCUUCAAAUUAUCUUCUCAUAUGUCAUUUAUUCUUAUUUCAUGUAGAUUGUAUCCCUGUUUUCAUAACUUUUCUCUCUCUCUUGGUUUUGAAACUGUCAUGCUCAGCUUUCAGUCACCUUCAAUCCUUUCCAAGUGAUAAUGUAUAUGUUUCCACAUCACAUAGCAUUACUGUAACAUACUGACUAUUCUUUCAAAACUCAUUUUGUGUAAUCUUUCCAUAGUCUGAUCAGAGCAACUUUUUAAUGUUUUCUUGGUACAUUAGCACUGUGAAAUUGCUGCUAACACUGUCGGCCAAUUAGCAACUCUUUAAUCUGCUAUAUUGUUUGUCAAGCCCGUGUGACAGAAUGACAGGGUACCAUACUAAUUAGCUGACUCCUUCAUAAGUAGAAAAUUGCUCCUUGUUUGACAAAUAUUUUAAGUAAAAAAAGUGGAGACCUGAAAGUCUAGAAACAAAUUUAGUCAUGGAAGGUUGCAUUAAAGAGUACUGAAUAGCUCAGGUAAUUGGUAAUGGGAGAAAAGACCUUUUACCUUUUUGUAAUAAAUCAGAAAAAUUAGUGAGUGGAAGGAAUGGAAGUAACUUCUAAAUGUGUUAAUUAAGACCAGGGUUUAAAGUCUGAUGAGUUUAUGAACCUCAGUCUAUGCUUGAGGAAAUUGGGUUUACUGAGGCUGAUGUUAAGUAAUCAGCUGGGAAGACACCCAACCUCUCUGCAUACAGCUGGCCUCCCUCAUUACCAGUAAAAGUAGUGUCUAUGUCUUUAGCUGCCAGCCUUGUAACUUUCUGAAGAGAAGGUCUUAGGAUGUGUACAUGGGAGAUGGGUGAUUUUUUUUGGAGAGUGGGAGAGGCUGGGAAUAGAAGUUGCCUUUGUAAGCCUUAGUUCAUUUAAUUCAGUCCUGCAGUGUUGACAAUGACCAUGUUACUGUCUGUGCAACAGUAAAUUCCUGUUUUAUCCAAAAUAUUACAAUAAACAGUACCAUACAACUUCUA